UACGGAGGGUGCUAGCGUUGUUUGGAAUUACUGGGCGUAAAGGGCGCGUAGGCGGCCGUUUGCGUCGGAUGUGAAAGCCCGGGGCUCAACCUCGGAACGGCAUUCGAUACGGGACGGCUGGAGACCGGGAGAGGAGAGUGGAAUAGCCAGUGUAGAGGUGAAAUUCGUAGAUAUUGGCUGGAACACCGGUGGCGAAAGCGGCUCUCUGGCCCGGUUCUGACGCUGAGGCGCGAAAGCGUGGGGAGCAAACAGG
rnacentral:rRNA from 1 species